AUGGUGAUUCAUAGUAAGGUUGGAAAAUCGUAUGGGAGUAAUCCUGACGAUAUAUCAUUCAAAUUCUGCCCUAUCAACUUGGAUGGUAGUAUAGAGGACUACCAUGGUGAUAACGGGUAACGGAGAAUAGGGUUUGAUUCCGGAGAGGGAGCCUGAGAAAAUGGCUACCACUUCUAAGGAGGGCAGCAGGCGCGACAAAUUACCCAAUCCUAAUACAGGGAGGUAGUGACAAUAAAUAACAAUGUAGGGGAUGAUAAAAUCUUUACAAUUGGAAUGAGAACAAUUUAAACCCCUUAACGAGUAACAAUUAGAGGGCAAGUCUGGUGCCAGCAGCCGCGGUAAUUCCAGCUCUAAUAGCGUAUAUUAAAGUUGUUGCAGUUAAAAAGCUCGUAGUUGGAUUUUAGUAAGAUUAUUAGAAAUAGGUCGGUUAGGAAACUAAUCUUGUACUUGUUUCAUCUUACUUGAUUUACUGGUUACUCGACUCUGUUCUUUAUUGAAUGGAGUAGUAUCGCAAGG
rnacentral:rRNA from 1 species